UACGUAGGGGGCAAGCGUUGUCCGGAUUCAUUGGGCGUAAAGAGCUCGUAGGCGGUUCGGUAAGUCGGGUGUGAAAUCUCCGUGCUCAACACGGAGCGGCCACCUGAUACUGCCGUGACUCGAGUCCGGUAGGGGAGUGUGGAAUUCCCGGUGUAGCGGUGAAAUGCGCAGAUAUCGUGAGGAACACCAGAGGCGAAGGCGGUUACCUGGACAGUUACUGACGCUCAGGCACGAAAGCAUGGGGAGCAAAAGGG
rnacentral:rRNA from 1 species